rfam:Barley yellow dwarf virus-PAS PAV-129, complete genome.
UGAAGGUUGACCACCUACACAAAAAGACUUUGUGCUUGAAGUCUACAACCCACCUGUUUUGUAUUCAGGAAGUUGUCUGCAACAACGGUCAACAGUACGUCUGACACCGUACUGCCCCCUCCCCCCCCCCCCGCCAACAUGCUUCU